GAUUUAGUUGCUCAAUUGGUUGAGCUUUGAAUAUGACAUCAAAUGUCAUGGGUUCAAACCCUAUCUAUAGCA
rnacentral:tRNA from 1 species